GUUCUUAUAGUUGAAUUACAACAGUGGUUUUUCGUAUCACAGGCCUUGGUUAGAAUCCUAGUGAGAACU
rnacentral:tRNA from 1 species